rnacentral:rRNA from 1 species
GAGAUAGAGCUUCCCCUUCGGGGGCAAAGUGACAGGUGGUGCAUGGUUGUCGUCAGCUCGUGUCGUGAGAUGUUGGGUUAAGUCCCGCAACGAGCGCAACCCUUAUUGUUAGUUGCCAUCAUUUAGUUGGGCACUCUAGCGAGACUGCCGGUGACAAACCGGAGGAAGGUGGGGAUGACGUCAAAUCAUCAUGCCCCUUAUGACCUGGGCUACACACGUGCUACAAUGGGAAGUACAACGAGUUGCGAAGUCGCGAGGCUAAGCUAAUCUCUUAAAGCUUCUCUCAGUUCGGAUUGUAGGCUGCAACUCGCCUACAUGAAGCCGGAAUCGCUAGUAAUCGCGGAUCAGCACGCCGCGGUGAAUACGUUCCCGGGCCUUGUACACACCGCCCGUCACACCACGAGAGUUUGUAACACCCGAAGUCGGUGAGGUAACCUUUUUGGAGCCAGCCGCCUAAGGUGGGAUAGAUGAUUGGGGUGAAGUCGUAACAAGGUAGCCGUAUCGGAAGGUGCGGCUGGAUCA